UGUCAUGCUUUUCCACAGCUUUCUUGAACUUUCUUCAUGUUUUCUAUGUGCUGUGAUAUGAUGAUAUAUCGAUCAAUCAGCAUUGCAGAUAUAUGUGCACUGAGGAAGUUGAAGAAAGCUGUGGGAAGACAUGCCAU
rnacentral:miRNA from 1 species